UGGGAACUUCUGUGUGUCUGGCCUGACCU
rnacentral:piRNA from 1 species